rnacentral:rRNA from 1 species
UUUAAUUGGAAUCUUGUAUGAAUGAUUGGACAAGAAAAAUACUGUCUCUGUAUUAGAAAUUGAAUUUAACUUUUAAGUGAAAAGGCUUAAAUACACUAGAGGGACGAUAAGACCCUAUAAAACUUUACAUUGUGAAUUAAUAUUUAUUAAUUUAUUUAAUAAUAAUGAAAUUUAAUUUAUUUGUUAUGUUGGGGAGACAUAAGCUAUAAUUUAUAUUAACUGCUUGAAAAUAAAACAGAAAUAAGUGAUUAAGUUUAAGGUCCUUUAUAGAGAUUGCAAGAUCAAGUUACUUUAGGGAUAACAGCGUUAUUUUUUUUGAGAGUUCUUAUCGAAAAAAGAGAUUGCGACCUCGAUGUUGAAUUAAAAUAUCUUUAUAAUGUAGGUGUUAUAAAAGAGGGUCUGUUCGACCUUUAAUUUUUU